UACGAAGGGGGCUAGCGUUGCUCGGAAUCACUGGGCGUAAAGGGUGCGUAGGCGGGUCUUUAAGUCAGGGGUGAAAUCCUGGAGUUCAACUCCAGAACUGCCUUUGAUACUGAGGAUCUUGAGUCCGGGAGAGGUGAGUGGAACUGCGAGUGUAGAGGUGAAAUUCGUAGAUAUUCGCAAGAACACCAGUGGCGAAGGCGGCUCACUGGCCCGGUACUGACGCUGAGGCACGAAAGCGUGGGGAGCAAACAGGG
rnacentral:rRNA from 1 species